UUUUUUUUUCCUUGGGGAUUCUCCUUUCUCCUGCCAAACUGACUUGCACCUUCUCGAUAAUUUCUCUUCCCCUCGUUUUUUAUACUCUUCUCCCUGCUUCCAAACCCUGUGUCUGUGUGUUUCAGUACUAUCACAACCUCUGCUAAAAAUAGAUCUUUUUAUAUACCCUUCCUCCUCUCUGACCCCAUCCAACACCCCUUGUUAAGGGAACCGUCUUAAACCCAGGGCAAGAAACGUAAAGUCAUUUGGCUGUCCCUUAUCUCUAAGGGCACCUGAUGCAUAAGUGGACUAGAGAAAGGAAAGAAAGAAAAACCUCCAAAGACCUACAGAUCAUCUUGCUGGCAGGGACAAGAAAAGCAGCAGGACAACAGAGUCAGCCUUUGAGCAUCUGCUGUUGCCUACAGUUCUGUGGCGGGCUCCGGUCAGCUGGAAGGUGUUGCUGCCGUUUUCCUCAUCUUUCCAAGCUUUCCAGAUUUUGAUUUUCGUAAGUGUCUUAAGGAAAAUGAAACUUCUUUAAGAUUCUUGCAUUGUUCUGAUGUCUGAAUGUCAGUGUGUUUCACUUUUCAAAUAUAAAGCAUACGAGUCUUGGUUCAGGAAGAAAUGACGUGGUUGUGCAUGCAGCUGUUAGUAUAAAAAGUUAUUGCGGGGGAGUAAUUGCAUAAACAAAGUGGCAAAUGGGCUACAAUGGAGUUAAUACUGAGUAGGGAUUUUUGUAGCCAGGGAGGGCAAUGCUGCUCAUUUUGAGCUAACCCAUACUUAGCUGUUUCAGUUACUGAUAACUGAUCUGGGAUUGUUGUCUCCAUUUUUGACUCAUGAAAUCUUAUUUUGCAUAACACAAAUGCAGAGUGAUGAGUGCAUGUGCUUAAAUUCUUGAGAAAACCACUAAGGAGGCCCCAUUCUCUACUAAUGGAAGUCCUGCUGCUAUUCUUACUCAGCUAGGCUUGACGGAGAGCUGCACUGUAAGUGCUCCCAUUAGCAUCAUGUAGGGGAAAGCAUUUCAGCUAAUGUGCUGUGCUUAUUUCCUCCCAGUGCCCUCCUCUCUUCUUGGCUUGCUCUCCCCCUUCCCCUCCUGGUACAACAGGGGAGGCUGUAGAGAUUAUAUUGCUCAUUGCUAAGUGCUCUGCCCAGUCCUUGGUCUCUGUAGCAUGUUGGUUAUUUUGUCCUGGGGCUGGCAUGAACAGAAUACAAAAUAGGCUUAUUCUAUUAGUUCAUUAAGUUUAUCAGAUUCUCUGAGGCUCCUUAAGUGACAGGGAGCAGCAACACAAAUAUCACAUUUCGCAUGUUUUUGAAUUUUAGGUACAAG
rnacentral:lncRNA from 1 species